ACUCACCAUUCUUCCAGAUUGACCCCAAGGUGAAGAUGGAGCAUGGGCCAAGAAGCGGCCCUUGCUGUUCAAAUCCUUACUGUUCAGAGGUCAGCUGGAGUUCUAACUUGAGGACAUUCGUCAUCCCAUGGAAGGAGAUUUGGUCUGUGUGAAGUCAGCAAAGAUCCACACAAGUCCUUGGCUUCUUUCCCUUUCCUAAACGGAUGCUGAAACCAGCUAGGUUUUUCAGAAUGAAACCUUGGUUUCAUGGAACCAUAUGCAAGUGAAUUCUUAUAGGUACUCACUAGAGUAUCCUACAGUGCCCUGUGGAAGACAGCCUUAAAGAUGGUCCUCAAUGAUCCCCGCCUCCUGUUCAUGAGUGACUCCUGGGAAGCUACACACUAUGGAGGAAGUACCGUGGACCAUGCAUGUGACUCUGUGUGAUCUACGAGCCUCAUUGGGUAGUGAAAUCAUUGAACUGAAAGUCAACCGCCACCAAUAUUAAGCCAACAUUAAGAUAAUUGUCAACUAAUGAUGUCCAUUGAGCUACUGUGAUUGUUGAUGGAUUCUUUUGGGAUAUAUUUUAAUUAGGAAACCAUGUUUAAAUCACACCUCUCUCUUUUAAACUGUUCAACCAUCAAUAAGGGAAACACAGAGCAGGGAUGGAUAUUUAUGUGAGUUGUGUUCUAAUAUAAACAUAGUAGCUUCUGAGAGCAGGAAUGUUUCAGAAAAGGGUAUUUUCUAACAGGUAUUUGGGUUGAUUCCCUCUAUCCAUAGUGUAAGAUGAACUCUGGCUACUGAAAAUGAUCGAUUGCCACAGCUAAAACAAGGUGAAUUCGUGUCUCCCUAAAUGAGACUCUUCAUAGUUAGUUUUUGUUUUUGUUUUUGUUUUUUUUUCCCCAACAGUAGCUUGACUGAUGCAAAACACAGUUUCUUUAUCUAUAAUCUCAGAAACUCUUUAAGGUAGUCAGUAACACCACAAUGGUGAAUGCUGCCAGGCUUGAAGCCUAAUGCAGACAAAGAGAGUUUCUUUCCACUAAGUCCUGGAAAUCUUAGCAGACAAUAAAGGAUUAAUAUAAAGAGACAUGGAGGGAAUGAGAGGCUACUGAUAUUUCUCAAGCAUCUACAAUGUGACAGACACUGUGUUAGAAAACUUAUGCAUAUUGUUUAAUUUUCAGCAGAGUCAACUAGUUCAUUUUGCAAAUGAGUGAAAUGAGGCUCAGAGAGGCUGAACAAUUUUCUCAAGGCAAGACAGUGAGGAGCCAAAAUUUAUCUGACCCCAGUAACAAGAAACGUGUCCAUGAGUUUUUUCUGUGAUAUGACACUAUCACAAAAUUUAUAAACACCUGCUUUUUAGACUGUGGUGUGAGGAAAAUGCAAAUGAGUACAUUUUAUAAAUACAUAAGAUAAUUUGUUUUGUAAGAACAGUGUGAAUACUGUCUCUGUUAACCACCUCCUUACUGUACCCGUUUCCUCAUUUCCUUCAUUUGUCUUAGAGUUUAUUGUUUUUCUCAUUUAGAUACAUUGCAUUUGUGUUAAUAUUCCCUGUUUUUUU